AUACGGAGGGUGCAAGCGUUGUCCGGAUUUAUUGGGUUUAAAGGGUGCGUAGGCGGAAGAAUAAGUCAGUGGUGAAAUCCUGCGGCUCAACCGUAGAACUGCCAUUGAUACUGUUUUUCUUGAGUAAGGUCGAGGUGGUUGGAAUACGUAGUGUAGCGGUGAAAUGCAUAGAUAUUACGUAGAACACCAAUUGCGAAGGCAGAUCACUAGACCUUAACUGACGCUGAUGCACGAAAGCGUGGGGAGCGAACAGGAUUAGAAACCCCAGUAGUCC
rnacentral:rRNA from 1 species